rnacentral:misc_RNA from 1 species
CCGCGCCCCCCACCGACCCACCCCCCUUUUUCCAAUCGGGGGUCGGGUCGAGUGAAAGUGGCCGUCCCGGUGGUGAGCCUCCUUGUCUUGCGAGAAGGACUUAGGCCUCACUUUAGGGUCGGCUGAAAUGGAAGGAAUCGGGCCGCCGUGGCGACACAGUCCGCGAUCGGGUGAUCCGAGCUCCUCCGGGAGCCCGGAAUUUUUCUAAGUGUUGGCUGCGUCGCCCAGUUGGCUUUGGAUACCUCGUGCAGGUCGAGCGCGCCCCCUUCAUGGGGGCACGCGUCACGCAU